GAACGCUAGCGGCAAGCUUAAUACAUGCAAGUCGUGGGGGCAGCGCGUUGUAGCAAUAUAAUGGCGGCGACCGGCAAACGGGUGCGUAACACGUACGCAAUUUCCUUCGAGCAGGGAAUAGCCCAGAGAAAUUUGGAUUAAUACCCCAUAAAAUUUUGAGAUGGCAUCAAGGAACUAUUAAAGUCACAACGGCAAAAGAUGAGCAUGCGUCCCAUUAGCUAGUUGGUAAGGUAACGGCUUACCAAGGCUACGAUGGGUAGGGGGUCCUGAGAGGGAGAUCCCCCACACUGGUACUGAGACACGGACCAGACUCCUACGGGAGGCAGCAGUGAGGAAUAUUGGACAAUGGGCGCAAGCCUGAUCCAGCCAUGCCGCGUGCAGGAUGACGGUCCUAUGGAUUGUAAACUGCUUUAUACAGGAAGAAACACUCCGACGUGUCGGAGCUUGACGGUACUGUAAGAAUAAGGAUCGGCUAACUCCGUG
rnacentral:rRNA from 1 species